AUUGAACGCUGGCGGCAGGCCUAACACAUGCAAGUCGAGCGGAUGAAGGGAGCUUGCUCCUGGAUUCAGCGGCGGACGGGUGAGUAAUGCCUAGGAAUCUGCCUGGUAGUGGGGGAUAACGUCCGGAAACGGGCGCUAAUACCGCAUACGUCCUGAGGGAGAAAGUGGGGGAUCUUCGGACCUCACGCUAUCAGAUGAGCCUAGGUCGGAUUAGUUAGUUGGUGGGGUAAAGGCCUACCAAGGCGACGAUCCGUAACUGGUCUGAGAGGAUGAUCAGUCACACUGGAGCUGAGACACGGUCCAGACUCCUACGGGAGGCAGCAGUGGGGAAUAUUGGACAGUGGGCGAAAGCCUGGUCCAGCCAUGCCGCGUGUGUGAAGAAGGUCUUCGGAGUGUAAAGCACUUUAAGUUGGGAGGAAGGGCAGUAAGUUAAUACCUUGCUGUUUUGACGUUACCAACAGAAUAAGCACCGGCUAACUUCGUG
rnacentral:rRNA from 1 species